rnacentral:rRNA from 1 species
AAGCGCUUGCAACCAGACUUGAGCGCGGCGGUUCCCCCUUCCUUUUGGUUGGGUUACUCCGCCGUGUCCAGGCCAACAUCGGUUCUGGGGGUCGGUUAAAGGCCUGGGGAAUGUAUCUACUCCUUCGGGGGUAGACUUAUAGCCCCGGGUGUCAUGCGACCACCUAGGACCGAGGAACGCGCUUCGGCUCGGAUGUUGGCGUAAUGGUUGUCAGCGA